rnacentral:rRNA from 1 species
UACGUAGGGUGCAAGCGUUGUCCGGAAUUAUUGGGCGUAAAGAGCUCGUAGGCGGUUUGUCGCGUCUGCUGUGAAAACCCAGGGCUCAACCCUGGGCCUGCAUUCGAUACGGGCAGACUAGAGUUCGGCAGGGGAGACUGGAAUUCCUGGUGUAGCGGUGAAAUGCGCAGAUAUCAGGAGGAACACCGGUGGCGAAGGCGGGUCUCUGGGCCGAAACUGACGCUGAGGAGCGAAAGCGUGGGGAGCAAACAGG